rnacentral:lncRNA from 13 species
AUGAACCUGGACCCGUUCAGCCAGUACUCAGAUGAAGUCUGGACGUCCCUGGAGCUGGCUCAGCCCUUGCUGAUGAGCAGGACCACGAGUGUGCAGAAGGCGGAGAGAACCUCAGAUGGGCAGAACAUCGUGAUUUUCAGGGAUUUUACAGACACAUUGUCCCAUUUGGCCCAAGGGGGCACUCUUCUUCAUUUUGAAGAAGGGGAGGCCACAGCUCCUCAGGACCAAAUGUCUCCAUGUAGACCCCAGUGAAUGAGGGACAGAGCCAAAAGCCAUGUUGAAUUUCCGGCCUUGAAGACUGGUAGAAGCUGUCUCAUUCCACACGGAACAAGUUUUUAAGAUGUCUAUAUAAAAUGCCAGCAACAAUGAUCUAUGGUGAUCAUCACAGAGGUUGGACUGGAGCUUCAAUUUUCUAGAACCGCUGCCUCUAAAGGAGCGCGAGUGUUUCAUGCACAGGCGUGCUAGCUCAUCUUCUGGUGUUCUUACUCCAGGAACCAGAAGUCUUCAUACUGGAGAUUCUCCAGAAGAGACUGAAUUAUUGAAACCACAGAAAAGCUGCCCUGAGAAGAGCCACUUGAAAGAUUAGUUUAAUGUAGAAGGAUAAGGGAACAAUUUGCUGAGUUUUAAACCCCAUUCGCAAGCCGGGUGCUAAGCUAAUUAAGCCUCCAUGUGCCACAGAAAGCUGAAUUCCUCAACCAAUUGUCUCAUUUCCAUUCUCCUGCAUUGAGAGCCUGCAUUUCUCCCAGUGCGGAGGUAUACAAUUUCUUCCCUGGGAAUACAGGGGCUGCCUGCCAUGGAUUUUCAUGCUGCACCCUUUUGUGUUAUUAUCUCAUAAAAGGGAUAUGUCUCCUGCCUCCCGGUCUCCUGCCACUGAAGUGUACCUACACCUGGAUUGUUGUGGGAUGGGCACACUUGGCCUACAUGAACUGUGCAUUUUUCAAAAGUGUAUCACUAUUAUAAAGGGCCCCGCCCUACGCCAUUGUUCGUCACUGGCACGAUGUAUAAUAAAUGUCAGAUGAUGGGUUAGUGAUUCA